rnacentral:rRNA from 1 species
GUUGUAUAGUCAAGUAAUUAAGUGCAUGUGGUGGAUGCCUUGGCAGUCAGAGGCGAUGAAAGACGUGAUAGCCUGCGAAAAGCUCCGGGGAGGCGGCAAAUAUCCUUUGAUCCGGAGAUGUCUGAAUGGGGGAACCCACCUACUUUAAGGUAGGUAUUGCAACAUGAAUACAUAGUGUUGCAAGGCGAACGAGGGGAAGUGAAACAUCUCAGUACCCUUAGGAAAAGAAAUCAAUUGAGAUUCCCUCAGUAGCGGCGAGCGAACGGGGAUCAGCCCAUUAAGUUAUGUGUGUUUUAGUGGAACGCUCUGGGAAGUGCGAACGUAGAGGGUGAUAUUCCCGUACACGAAAGGGCACACAUAAUGAUGACGAGUAGGGCGAGGCACGUGAAACCUUGUCUGAAUAUGGGGGGACCAUCCUCCAAGGCUAAAUACUCCUGACUGACCGAUAGUGAACCAGUACCCGUGAGGGAAAGGCGAAAAGAACCCCUGUGAGGGGAGUGAAAUAGAUCCUGAAACCGCAUGCAUACAAGCAGUGGGAGCACCUUCGUGGUGUGACUGCGUACCUUUUGUAUAAUGGGUCAGCGACUUAUAUUCAGUAGCGAGGUUAACCGUAUAGGGGAGCCGUAGAGAAAUCGAGUCUUAAUAGGGCGUUUAGUUGCUGGGUAUAGACCCGAAACCAGGCGAUCUAUCCAUGAGCAGGUUGAAGGUUGGGUAACACUAACUGGAGGACCGAACCCACUGUCGUUGAAAAGCCAGGGGAUGACUUGUGGAUAGGGGUGAAAGGCUAAUCAAGCCUGGUGAUAGCUGGUUCUCCCCGAAAGCUAUUUAGGUAGCGCCUCGGACGAAUACCAUAGGGGGUAGAGCACUGUUUCGGCUAGGGGGUCAUCCCGACUUACCAAACCGAUGCAAACUCCGAAUACCUAUGAGUACUAUCCGGGAGACAGACUGCGGGUGCUAACGUCCGUAGUCAAGAGGAAAACAAUCCAGACCGCCAGCUAAGGCCCCAAAAUCAUAGUUAAGUGGGAAACGAUGUGGGAAGGCAUAGACAGCUAGGAGGUUGGCUUAGAAGCAGCCACCCUUUAAAGAAAGCGUAAUAGCUCACUAGUCGAGUCGGCCUGCGCGGAAGAUGUAACGGGGCUAAAACUAUGUGCCGAAGCUGCGGAUGUAUACUUUGUAUACGUGGUAGGGGAGCGUUCUGUAAGCCGAUGAAGGUGUGUUGAGAAGCAUGCUGGAGGUAUCAGAAGUGCGAAUGCUGACGUGAGUAACGACAAAACGGGUGAAAAACCCGUUCGCCGAAAGACCAAGGGUUCCAGUCCAACGUUAAUCGGGGCUGGGUGAGUCGACCCCUAAGGCGAGGCCGAAAGGCGUAGUCGAUGGGAAAAUGGUUAAUAUUCCAUUACUUCUGUGUAAUGCGAUGAGAGGACGGAGAAGGCUAAAUCAGCCUGGCGUUGGUUGUCCAGGUGAAAGGAUGUAGGCAUGUAUCUUAGGCAAAUCCGGGGUACUCUAUGCUGAGAUCUGAUAGCAAGCUGUACUUGUACAGCGAAGUGGUUGAUGCCAUGCUUCCAGGAAAAGUCUCUAAGCUUCAGUUACACAGGAAUCGUACCCGAAACCGACACAGGUGGUCAGGUCGAGUAGACCAAGGCGCUUGAGAGAACUCUGCUGAAGGAACUAGGCAAAAUGGUACCGUAACUUCGGGAGAAGGUACGCUGUUGUUGGUGAUGGAACUCGCUUCCUGAGCUGACGACAGCCGCAGAAACCAGGCCGCUGCAACUGUUUAUUAAAAACAUAGCACUCUGCAAACACGAAAGUGGACGUAUAGGGUGUGAUGCCUGCCCGGUGCUGGAAGGUUAAUUGAUGGGGUUAGCGUAAGCGAAGCUCUUGAUCGAAGCCCCAGUAAACGGCGGCCGUAACUAUAACGGUCCUAAGGUAGCGAAAUUCCUUGUCGGGUAAGUUCCGACCUGCACGAAUGGCAUAAUGAUGGCGGCGCUGUCUCCAGCAGAGGCUCAGUGAAAUCGAAAUCGCUGUGAAGAUGCAGUGUACCCGCGGCUAGACGGAAAGACCCCGUGAACCUUUACUGCAGCUUGACACUGAACUUUGACCUUACUUGUGUAGGAUAGGUGGGAGGCUUUGAAGCUGGAACGCUAGUUCCAGUGGAGCCGUCCUUGAAAUACCACCCUGGUAAUGUUGAGGUUCUAACUCUGUCCCGUGAUCCGGGACGAGGACCGUGUCUGGUGGGUAGUUUGACUGGGGCGGUCUCCUCCUAAAGAGUAACGGAGGAGUACGAAGGUGCGCUCAGCGUGGUCGGAAAUCACGCGUAGAGUAUAAAGGCAAAAGCGCGCUUAACUGCGAGACCCACAAGUCGAGCAGGUACGAAAGUAGGUCUUAGUGAUCCGGUGGUUCUGUAUGGAAGGGCCAUCGCUCAACGGAUAAAAGGUACUCUGGGGAUAACAGGCUGAUACCGCCCAAGAGUUCAUAUCGACGGCGGUGUUUGGCACCUCGAUGUCGGCUCAUCUCAUCCUGGGGCUGAAGCAGGUCCCAAGGGUAUGGCUGUUCGCCAUUUAAAGAGGUACGCGAGCUGGGUUUAGAACGUCGUGAGACAGUUCGGUCCCUAUCUACCGUGGGCGCUGGAAAUUUGAGAGGAUCUGCUCCUAGUACGAGAGGACCAGAGUGGACGAACCUCUGGUGUACCGGUUGUGACGCCAGUCGCAUCGCCGGGUAGCUAUGUUCGGAAGGGAUAACCGCUGAAAGCAUCUAAGCGGGAAGCCUACCUCAAGAUAAGAUUUCCCUAGGACUUUAUGUCCUCUAAAGAGCCGUUCGAGACUAGGACGUUGAUAGGUUGGAUGUGGAAGCAUAGUGAUAUGUGAAGCUGACCAAUACUAAUUGCUCGUGAGGCUUGACUAUACAACACCCAAGCAGUUG